GACGAACCGUGCGAACGUUGUUCGGAAUCACUGGGCUUAAAGGGCGCGUAGGCGGCUGCGCAAGUCCGGGGUGAAAGCCCCCAGCUCAACUGGGGAAGUGCCUUGGAAACUGUGCAGCUCGAGCGAGGUAGGGGUCGUGGGAACUUCCGGUGGAGCGGUGAAAUGCGUUGAUAUCGGAAGGAACGCCGGUGGCGAAAGCGCACGACUGGACCUCUUCUGACGCUGAGGCGCGAAAGCCAGGGGAGCGAACGGG
rnacentral:rRNA from 1 species